GAUGAAGAACGUAGCGAAAUGCGAUACUUGGUGUGAAUUGCAGAAUCCCGUGAACCAUCGAGUCUUUGAACGCAAGUUGCGCCCGAAGCCAUUAGGCCGAGGGCACGCCUGCCUGGGCGUCACACGUCGUUGCCCCCCCCAUCUACUCCUUCGGGAUUGCGGGGGGCGGAUGAUGGCCUCCCGUGCGCCUCGCCGCGCGGUUGGCAUAAAUGCCAAGUCCUCGGCGACGCACGCCACGACAAUCGGUGGUUGCGAAACCUCGGUUGCCCGUCGUGUGCGGUCGUCGCGCAUCGAGGGCUCGAAAAAAUUGCCGAGUUCCGGCUCGGCUUUCAACGCGACCCCAGGUCAGGCGGGGUUACCCGCUGAAUUUAAGCAUAUCAAUAGGCGGAGGA
rnacentral:misc_RNA from 1 species